AGGUGUGUAGUUUAACUGGUCAGAACUUGGGUGUUUGUACCCAGAGUGGAGGUUCAAGUCCUUCCACGCCUUCUA
rnacentral:tRNA from 1 species